GACGACGGCCAGCUAUCUGUACGUUGGCCCCACCAGUUUACUUAUUAACCUGACCUACGACUGCAAGCCAAAGCAGCACGUAGAGAAGUGCUGCUUCCAAUGCGAAUAUACAAUCUUUUCUGGUUUCCAACGUUGUGUGAGCGCGGUUACGUUCAAUAGCCGAUUUCAAGAACGUUUCUUCUAUUUUUGUGUGUGUUUGAGAUUGGACUCUCAAAUAGCCCUCCUUUUUUGAGGAAUUUUUCGCAACAGUUACGGAUUGUUCAUCAACAUAUGCCUAAAUGUGAGCGCCAUCUUUGCAGAGAACAUAAUGAAGUAUUUAAUAAUUGCAGCUGUGUUAUGCAUCACCAUUGGUGUAUCUGAUGCCCUCUGGUGUUACAAGUGUUCCGGUGCAAAUUGUGCAACCCCAGACACCUUGGAGGACGGUGUUUACAUCACAGAAUGUGACGAUUACACAUCUCUUUGUUUUAGUCAGAAGGUCAGCCACUACGGCAACGUCCACUACUCCCGAGGCUGCACCACAAGAAAGACCGAGUGCCAACCAACAUGUCACGGAGAACCGGACCAUCAGCUCUGCGAGUCCUGCUGCUUCGCCAAUCUCUGCAAUGGAUCAGCUCCAGUUCGGAUCAACCUCGUUCUCCUUAUAACAACAUUCCUAAUAGGGGUCUUGCUACUGCGGUGUUGAUAGCUAGAUCACUCUCAUUAUAACAACUUUCCUAAUAGGGUCCCUAUUAACACGAUUUCGAUAUAUCGCUCUCGUUGUAACAUCAUUCCUAAACAGUGGCCCCUUACCACGGUGUUUAUACCUUGUUCUCGCUAUAACAAGAUUUCUGAUAUGAGAACUGUUAGUAUGAUGUUGAUACACACAACUAAGAACUUUUCACUUUAAAACAAGAAAUUUAUAGUGUCGGAAACCUUGACUAUAAUCGGAGAGCAAUAAAGACAUUACCAAACACAAUUACCUACCUACUGUGCUCAAAAGAACAACUGAUCACUAUAUUCAAAGCAAAUUGCAUAGAUAUAUUCAGAUCUUUUAAUUCUGUUCUUAUCGUGUUGAAUAAAUAGGCCUGUAAUAGUAAGAAUAUAAGCAUCAUGAUUUCCAGUGUAUGUCUUCUAUGGUCGAUAGCACAUCGCAAUUAGAAAUGGUCUAGAUAGCCUUAUUGAAUUAAGAAUCUGAUUCAAAGAUGUCAUCUUUUACCUCAAGGUAACAGUUUACAUGUGUUUAUUUAUAAUUUAUUCAAGGAAAAAAUGAAUGUAAUGUGUAUUAGAUAUGGCAAACCACAAUGGGAAAAUUAAUACUUAGAGUUGCAAGUUUCCUUAACAAUCCUCAAAAGCAAUUCGUGCAAAAUGUUUUAAACAUGAAAAUUUAGUAAAUGAAGCUUGGCAUCUCGAUAAAUCAUAAAUCAUUUACCAUUUCUUUUUUUCAUUUUUAAAAAUGUUAUUAUGCUAACAUGGUAUUUACUUUCUGAAACUUUGUCAUGUUCAAAAGGAUUUACAAUGCCAUUUAUUCAUAUUGUCAUAGAAUGUCAAGAAAUAUAGAAAAUAAUUUUCGCUCUCACUCCUUUCUUUUUAUCAUUUAUGUUGACUUUCUGAGAAAAAUAUUACUCAGGAGUCAUCUGUGAAAUAUGUAAAAAAAAAAAAAAAAUUGGUAGGCUGUUGCAUGUGAUGUACUAUAAUCUAUGAAACUUUUUAUAGCAAUAAUAUAGUCAUGAUGGUAGCAAAUAUGAGACUAAAUCAUGUAGCAUGUAUAGCAUUUUGAAUCAGACGAACUGUCUAUACAAAUCAUUGCAAAUAGUCACAAUAUACCAUACGAAAUGGGGAAGAAAUGAUGUUAAUUAUGUAUAGUCCAAUUUACGAUAUUUGUUCAUUCACAGGGGUGGUAUAAUAGAUGUUUUAUUUUGGUUUGUUGGAAAUAACAUUUGAGUUAGAAAUAUAUAUAUAUAUAUAUAUAUAUAUAUAUAUAUAUAUAUAUAUAUAUAUAUAUAUAUAUAUAUAUAUAUAUAUAUAUAUUUCCAUUCAAUUAUUACUAACAUGUCUAAGUAAUAUGACGAAUGCAUGGGCCAGAUUAUUUCCAUAAGGAAGUCCGAAAUGUAGGAAUAGAUGAUAUCACUCUGAAAUUUUGCUGUACAUAUAUUACGCUUUUUUCACGUAACUGAAACACAAAAAUGAUAGAUAUCAAAAUAAUUUUUAUAAGAUUAGUGUUGUUCAAAAAGAUAUUCUGAAGUGUAACCAUCAUUCAUGGUUUUCUAGUUAUUUCUGCAGUGCAAAUAAGACAAUAAUAAAAUUGUUUAGACAACCAAUGUAGCUUUUGUUUGCGUUAAGUUAUCGAUGUUACUUAUUGCAUAACAUAAUUAUCAUGAUAAUUUUGUGUCUAUGUAGGACCGUAGAACCAUGUAUAAAGUGUUAACUAAAUAUAAGUAUUUAGGAAAGAUCUGUAAUACUUACAUAUUUGAAAUUUCUUUUUGUAUUCUAAUGUAAACCAAAGAAUAAGCAUGAGAAAUUACAUUUUUUAAGGAAUAAAAUUUGUACAUAAACUAAAAU
rnacentral:lncRNA from 1 species